rnacentral:misc_RNA from 1 species
GGACAACCAAACAAUUGAAAGAAGCUAUUGCAGUUGCAGAGGAGGAGACUUCGAAAUGCAAAGCAGCAAAGGAAGUAAUCAAGUCACUUACAGCCCAAUUGAAAGACAUGGCAGAAAGGUUACCUGUUGGAGCAACAAGAAACAGCUAUUCACCUUCCUUUUAUUUUUCUAGUGCCACUCCCCCAAGGGAAGUUUCUACUGCAGUCAAUGAGCAACUGAGUUGUCCCACAACUUGCCAUGAACCAGAUUCAAAUGGAUCAACAAGCAGCCCGGUGAUUUCUAAUGUGUCUGGCACCACUAGCAAUCAAACUAUAAAUCACUCUGAAGUGCCUCAUUUGGAAGCAACAUUAAAGAGUAAAAACAGAACAGCAAAAGUUGAACCUACCCAUGGGGAUGAAUGGGUUGAGCAAGAUGAACC